CCGUGGAUGGAUUUCAUCAGGUCCCAUGGACUUGUGCACAUUCAGUUUCCUAAGAUGAUCUCGAACCUGGUCCUCUCUUACAGUGGGCCCAAGGUCUUUAUUCUCACAGUCCCUGCAUCUACCUUCCAAGACUUGGGCGGUGUGGGCAGAGCAGUUG